UUCACAAAAACCACACAACAACCCAUUUCCAUAGCCCAUAUCGUGCCAAAAUGCACCAAACCAACACAAACCCAUCAACUUUGCUUUGAAUUAACCCAAAUAAUGAGCCCAACCACCUCUAAACCCUACGCCUCUUUUCUCUUCUCUCUCAUACCAUUUUUUCGAUCGAUUUCAGCUCUUCUUCGACCAUGGCAGAGAAUUGUCCACUCUAUUUUCGUACAAAGGAUCCUUACUAUCUCUCUUCUCGAAGCAAGUCUUGUCUUCUUCCUCGAAGCGAUAAUCUGGUAAACUUUAACCCUUUUAAGCUAAAGUGAAUCUCUCCAUUUCGGGUGCUUUCUGAGGCAAAUCAUGUGAAGGCCUCAAACGUUCGGAUUCGAAAGACUCUUUGACCACAAAUUCAAAAUCAAAAUCAAGAAUUCCCGCUCAAGAGAACACCCUAGAUUUUUCACUAUAAAUACUUGCAUAUCGGACCACUUCUGGACGGGCUGGAGCCGCCACUCAAACAUUAGUGUAAACACUACUAUUUUCCUUACUCUUACCACUCUUCUCGUCCCUUAGAAACUUUUAGAAACAACUUUCAAACUUUUAUUUACUGUCGCGGCCUACUUUAGCCGCGAUAGAAGUGUUUGAGCCCAUUCGACUCGAGGUUCGGAUCUGUUCAUAACGAGAGAGUAGAUUCGAGGUCGACGCCCCGUUCACUGCUCACAAAAAGAGUUGCGGCGGGUCUUGUUCCGAGACUCAAUGUCGUUGCCUUGCCCGACACCAGCAUCCCGUCUUCACUCUUCUUCAUCCACUUCUCUUGCCUUCUCAUCCAAACAGAAAGCAGAGAGGCGAGAGAAGUUGGAAAAUUCAUCUCUUUCAUUUGUUGUGACUAUUGUAUUUGCUUUUGGUGCUACUCAUUCCUAUGUAGUAUAUAAUCUAGAAUGAUAUUUAUAUGGCAUAUGGGUAGUAGACCCUUAUGUAGCUGAGAAUUAAAUCAACUUUGUUUAAGUCCAAAAUGGAAGAAGUUAGGCUUGAAACAAGUUCCUUGCAAAUGUUUGAAAAAUCAAUUCAAACGUCCUGAAAUUCUUUAAAUUUUGAGUACGUUUUUUUUUCUAAAAAAUGGAUUUCUUAGUCAA